GAUGAACGCUGGCGGCGUGCCUAAUACAUGCAAGUCGAGCGAACGGACGAGAAGCUUGCUUCUCUGAUGUUAGCGGCGGACGGGUGAGUAACACGUGGAUAACCUACCUAUAAGACUGGGAUAACUUCGGGAAACCGGAGCUAAUACCGGAUAAUAUUUUGAACCGCAUGGUUCAAAAGUGAAAGACGGUCUUGCUGUCACUUAUAGAUGGAUCCGCGCUGCAUUAGCUAGUUGGUAAGGUAACGGCUUACCAAGGCAACGAUGCAUAGCCGACCUGAGAGGGUGAUCGGCCACACUGGAACUGAGACACGGUCCAGACUCCUACGGGAGGCAGCAGUAGGGAAUCUUCCGCAAUGGGCGAAAGCCUGACGGAGCAACGCCGCGUGAGUGAUGAAGGUCUUCGGAUCGUAAAACUCUGUUAUCAGGGAAGAACAUAUGUGUAAGUAACUGUGCACAUCUUGACGGUACCUAAUCAGAAAGCCACGGCUAACUACGUGCCAGCAGCCGCGGUAAUACGUAGGUGGCAAGCGUUAUCCGGAAUUAUUGGGCGUNAAGCGCGCGUAGGCGGUUUUUUAAGUCUGAUGUGAAAGCCCACGGCUCAACCGUGGAGGGUCAUUGGAAACUGGAAAACUUGAGUGCAGAAGAGGAAAGUGGAAUUCCAUGUGUAGCGGUGAAAUGCGCAGAGAUAUGGAGGAACACCAGUGGCGAAGGCGACUUUCUGGUCUGUAACUGACGCUGAUGUGCGAAAGCGUGGGGAUCAAACAGGAUUAGAUACCCUGGUAGUCCACGCCGUAAACGAUGAGUGCUAAGUGUUAGGGGGUUUCCGCCCCUUAGUGCUGCAGCUAACGCAUUAAGCACUCCGCCUGGGGAGUACGACCGCAAGGUUGAAACUCAAAGGAAUUGACGGGGACCCGCACAAGCGGUGGAGCAUGUGGUUUAAUUCGAAGCAACGCGAAGAACCUUACCAAAUCUUGACAUCCUUUGACAACUCUAGAGAUAGAGCUUUCCCCUUCGGGGGACAAAGUGACAGGUGGUGCAUGGUUGUCGUCAGCUCGUGUCGUGAGAUGUUGGGUUAAGUCCCGCAACGAGCGCAACCCUUAAGCUUAGUUGCCAUCAUUAAGUUGGGCACUCUAAGUUGACUGCCGGUGACAAACCGGAGGAAGGUGGGGAUGACGUCAAAUCAUCAUGCCCCUUAUGAUUUGGGCUACACACGUGCUACAAUGGACAAUACAAAGGGCAGCGAAACCGCGAGGUCAAGCAAAUCCCAUAAAGUUGUUCUCAGUUCGGAUUGUAGUCUGCAACUCGACUACAUGAAGCUGGAAUCGCUAGUAAUCGUAGAUCAGCAUGCUACGGUGAAUACGUUCCCGGGUCU
rnacentral:rRNA from 1 species